rnacentral:tRNA from 1 species
GAGGGUAUAGCUCAGUGGUAGAGUGCAUGUCCUGGGUUCAAGCCCCAGUACCUCCA